AACGAACGCUGGCGGCAUGCCUAACACAUGCAAGUCGAACGAACUCUUCGGAGUUAGUGGCGCACGGGUGCGUAACGCGUGGGAAUCUGCCCUUGGGUACGGAAUAACUCAGAGAAAUUUGUGCUAAUACCGUAUAAUGACUUCGGUCCAAAGAUUUAUCGCCCAAGGAUGAGCCCGCGUAAGAUUAGCUAGUUGGUGGGGUAAAAGCCUACCAAGGCGACGAUCUUUAGCUGGUCUGAGAGGAUGAUCAGCCACACUGGGACUGAGACACGGCCCAGACUCCUACGGGAGGCAGCAGUGGGGAAUAUUGGACAAUGGGCGAAAGCCUGAUCCAGCAAUGCCGCGUGAGUGAUGAAGGCCUUAGGGUUGUAAAGCUCUUUACCCGGGAUGAUAAUGACAGUACCGGGAGAAUAAGCUCCGGCUAACUCCGUGCCAGCAGCCGCGGU
rnacentral:rRNA from 1 species